rnacentral:rRNA from 1 species
CUACGGGUUGCAGCAGUUGGGAAUCUUUUGCAAUGCGCGAAAGCGUGACAAAGCGAGCCAGAGUGUUUCUCUAUAUUUGAGAAACUUUUGUUAGCUCUAAAAAGGCUGAUGAAUAAGGACCGGGCAAGACUGGUGCCAGCCGCCGCGGUAAUCCCAGCGGUCCAAGUCGCAACCACAAUUAUUGGGUCUAAAACAUCCGUAGCCUGUUUUGUAAGUUUCCUGUGAAAUCUCAUCUCUUAAGGGUGAGGAUUGCGGGAAAUACUGCUUAACUUGAGACCGGAAGACGUAAGGAGUACAGUUAAGGUAGUAGUAAAAUACGUUGAUCUUAAUUGGACUAACAACAGCGAAGGCAUCUUACGAGGACGGAUCUGACGGUGAGGGAUGAAGGCUAGGGUCGCGAAACGGAUUAGAUACCCCUGUAGUC